rnacentral:lncRNA from 1 species
AUGAAACUGGGAGGGUCACUGCGGCGACAUCACAAAUGAGGUGGAGACAGAGGCUCAGAGACUGCAAGUGACUUGCCUGAGAUCACCCAGCAAAUGGGCGGUGAGGCCGGGGCCCCUAGUGGUGCCUCAUCCACCAAACCACAGUUUAUCCUCCCAACAGUUCUGUCUCAACCCCGGCUGAGCUUCGUGGAGGCACAGAGAGCGGGGACAGCUGGCUCAGAUCACACGGCAGUGAAGGGUGGACCCCGUUCUCCUGAAUCUCCAGGAGGAGAGAAGGGUUCCGAUUCCUGCCCCAGCCACUGGCACCCCUGAAGAAGCUGACGGGCCACAGCCAAGUUUAGGGGCUCUGGAGAGGAGCAAGAAGACGGUGGCUGUCAGGUCACGUGAUGGAAGGGGCCUGGGAUGGCCAGCGCAGGGGAUUUGGAGGAGCGUCAGGCCCUGGUGCUCCUGGGGCUGGGGGCAGGAGGUGAGGAUGUGAUGCCUGGAGCUGCAGCAGCCACUUUAUAAUCAUGAGGCAUCAACCAGCUCACUAAGAAGUCAGCGAAGAGCCUGGCUUCUUUGGACACCAAACCAAUCCCGAGACCACCUCUGCUCCUGGACUUCUUGUGGAAUAAACAAUAAAUGUCCUUAUGGAAUAAGC